rnacentral:rRNA from 1 species
GACGAACGCUGGCGGCGUGCUUAGCACAUGCAAGUCGAACGGGAUCCGGGCUUUCGGGUUUGGUGAGAGUGGCGAACGGGUGAGUAACACGUGAGUAACCUGCCCCCUUCUUUGGGAUAACGUCGGGAAAUCGGCGCUAAUACUGGAUAUUCUUGCUGCAUCGCAUGGUGUGGUUUGGAAAGGGUUUCUGGUGGGGGAUGGGCUCGCGGCCUAUCAGCUUGUUGGUGGGGUGAUGGCCUACCAAGGCUUUGACGGGUAGCCGGCCUGAGAGGGUGUCCGGCCACACUGGGACUGAGACACGGCCCAGACUCCUACGGGAGGCAGCAGUGGGGAAUAUUGCACAAUGGGCGCAAGCCUGAUGCAGCGACGCCGCGUGAGGGAUGACGGCCUUCGGGUUGUAAACCUCUUUCAGUAUGGAACAAGGAUCCUUCGUUUGGGGGGUUUGAGGGUACGUGCAGAAGAAGCGCCGGCUAACUACGUG